rnacentral:rRNA from 1 species
UACGAAGGGGGCUAGCGUUGCUCGGAAUCACUGGGCGUAAAGCGCACGUAGGCGGAUUCCUAAGUCGGUGGUGAAAUCCUGGAGCUCAACUCCAGAACUGCCUUUGAUACUGGCGAUCUCGAGUCCGGGAGAGGUGAGUGGAACUGCGAGUGUAGAGGUGAAAUUCGUAGAUAUUCGCAAGAACACCAGUGGCGAAGGCGGCUCACUGGCCCGGUACUGACGCUGAGGUGCGAAAGCGUGGGGAGCAAACAGG